CUAAACAGAAUAACAUGGAGAUAUUGCAAACGGUUAUUGUUUCCGUAUCGGAUUUAGCCUUCACGUCCGCCGGGCAAGAUACUUUGCCUUAUGCACCAUGAUCGACUUAAAGCAGUUUUCCAUGUUUCUGAGAGGAUCAGAACGGCCGUUGUUGUAGCUCGAAGGUUUCAUUUUAAUUACACAACACCAGAUAGGUCUCGACAAGAGAUGCUGAAUACAAUGACACCACUUCCUACGCAACAUUGGCCUUUUGUGAGCAAAGAAGAUGAAAAGAGGAAAGUACUGACAUUACCAAGAACUCCAAAAGCACCUAGGCAUGGGCCUCGUCCUCCUUCCCACCUUAAGUUUGUUGAGAUGCGCCAGGUGGCAGCUGUUUUAUUCCAGGAGUCAGCAUUUCCACCGAGGUACACUGUUCCAUUUACACUACCCAAACCCAAAUGCAGAUCAUUUCUUUCCAACAGAGUGCUAUUUGAUGAAAAACUUGAGCUUUGUCAAGCUGUUGCUCAGAAUAAACUUCGAUAGUAUUUAAAUAAAACUUUAUUAUAUGAAUGUACAAUUGCGAUUUCUUUUCAUAGGUUCCUACCAUUCCAGGUGGUUAGUGUAAAUUGUGCAGUUAUUGGAGAACACAAAAACUUACCGGCAACCCUGCCGGUAUCUUUAAUAGCAGAAGGGCUCAAUGUAGUGGCGAAGAAACUACCCCAUGGACUGCAAUUACUUAGUUUGCUCACCAUGAGAUCUUCGUACCAAUUGGAUAUACUUUUAGAGCUGACAUGUUCGAAAUGGAGAAGGGCAAAGGUGGAAGUCCAUAUGGUGCAGGUACUUAUGCAUGGGAUGGGUCAAGACAACCAUCUGAGCUCGAGUUGCAGCAAGCUUUCCAUCAGGGUAAGCACAUUGCUACCGUUGCCAAGAAACUCAAGGGAAGGCCGUGAUGUGCAUCUAACUCACUGAAACAAUGUCAAGCUAGUACAAUUAGGUUACCUGUUACUAACUUGUGGUUGUAUGAAACACAUUGUUUUGAUAUAUAUGAAAUUCGCUCUUUUGCUA